rnacentral:rRNA from 1 species
GAGUUUGAUCGUGGCUCAGAUUGAACGCUGGCGGCAGGCCUAACACAUGCAAGUCGAGCGGUAGAGAGAAGCUUGCUUCUCUUGAGAGCGGCGGACGGGUGAGUAAUGCCUAGGAAUCUGCCUGGUAGUGGGGGAUAACGCUCGGAAACGGACGCUAAUACCGCAUACGUCCUACGGGAGAAAGCAGGGGACCUUCGGGCCUUGCGCUAUCAGAUGAGCCUAGGUCGGAUUAGCUAGUUGGUGAGGUAAUGGCUCACCAAGGCGACGAUCCGUAACUGGUCUGAGAGGAUGAUCAGUCACACUGGAACUGAGACACGGUCCAGACUCCUACGGGAGGCAGCAGUGGGGAAUAUUGGACAAUGGGCGAAAGCCUGAUCCAGCCAUGCCGCGUGUGUGAAGAAGGUCUUCGGAUUGUAAAGCACUUUAAGUUGGGAGGAAGGGCAGUAAAUUAAUACUUUGCUGUUUUGACGUUACCGACAGAAUAAGCACCGGCUAACUCUGUGCCAGCCG